GCCUCCUUAGUUAAAUGGCAGAACAGCGGUUUUGUAAACCGCAAACGUCAGUUCGAUUCUGACAGGAGGCUCCA
rnacentral:tRNA from 6 species